UAUUGAUGCUCUUCUUCAGCACUAACACACAUCUAAUGUGAGGGAAGGAUAUCCUUGUUUAGAUUUGCUCACUCCUACAUCCUCUGCAUUUAGCAAUCUGCCAGGGAGCAGGUGCAGCAUCUGACAAAUGCCUUGCUGCAGUUUCCGCCUCCUCUGCAUCCCUUCAGCUUCUGUUUUUUAGUGGAUUGAUAUAUGGGGUCUCCCAUGUGAGCAUUGCAGAUGGAGGGCUGUGAGGCUGAGGCAUCUACACUGCUUUACAACCAGCAUUACAGCACAAGAGUGGUCUUACAGCAGUGAUACAUCCCGAAUCUGAGCUGUGUGAUGAAGCGAGGCCGCACGGCAGUCAUCACCCAUUCCUACAGCAGGCUUCCAAAUACAAACUGAAAAUAUAGCAUCAGGACAGUGGUUUCACCCAAGUCAGGUUCACAGGUCUAUCCACCAUCUGGAGCAAUUACAAGGUGGCUGGAAAGCCAUGGAAAUACUGUUCCCAAAGAAAGGACGUCCACUAGUGGAGGCACGGGUCCAUCCCAGAACCCUCACUCAUACCUCCAGGACAGUGAUGUGCUUCUCCACUAAGAUGCAGAAUGGAAGGGUCUGAGGACCUGAUGUUAACAUUUUUAGACAGAACCAGUUCAGAAGUGUUGGGGAAGCUGUGGAUGUUGAAAGCUGGUCGAAGAAAGCAUUUUCACUCCUGUUUUCCCUGAAACUGGAUCACAUACAAGAAUUCAAGAACUCAGCUGCUGCUAAUUAACUUUUCUGUUAGUUUGCUGUCGCAUCUGACUUAUCUCAAGACGGACCUUCACUGUCAGUGCAUUGCUUCUUUCUCUGUUGUGGAACUCAGCAACUUUGUCCUCAGGGUCACUUACCUCUAUCAGCAGCUUUUCAUUACUGUACCUACAGUAAGCUGGCUCAUCUGCUCUGAUGUUAUCCGAUAAAACCUGACCACAACGCCUGCCUCACAGGUGACCUGACGUAAGGAGCAGUGCACCAUUCAGCCCUGGAAGUAUCCAUUUUGAUAGAGUUGUUUGAAAAAAAUAGAAAAAAAGAAAAGACCUCAUUGCCAACGGGCUUUGCUGGAGCUUUUGUGGGGAUAAUUGUGUAGAAUUUGUCUUGUUUGCUGUCUGUCUGGAGUACAGGAACAUAUAGGCAUACAGCUUUAUUGGUAACAUCUUACAUUCCCUUACAUGUAGCUUCUAUCCGCCUCACUGAGGGUAAAAUCUAACAGUAUGAUGAGGGACCCACCAUGAGGAAAAACAUUUCUGACCAUUUUUACCUUUUACGUGGCACCUACUGUGGUCACACAUGCAUGCCUUCGUUGCUCUUAGUCUUGUACUGGACUGUGGUGUGAGUGCCUUAUUCUGAAUAUGGGCAGUGAAAAAGCAGCUCCCAGCAGUGCCAUCCAUGUAGUACCCUCACCUUCUCCUAACCACAGCACCCGUAGGGCAGACAAAGAUCUCACCUGAUUUCUAGAUAGGCUCUGUGUGAUUUUCUUUAAGGUGCUUUAACAAUUUCACU
ensembl:lncRNA